rfam:Ruminococcus torques CAG:61 genomic scaffold, scf48
UCGUGCAGCCGGGGUGUUAGCGGUACCUUGUACCUGCAAUCCGCUAUAGCAGGGGUGAUAUUGUGCAGAGGGCGACAGCCGGCAGAGCUGCCUUAGGUAAGUGGCGUUGAUGUUUGGGUCUUACGCGACGGGAAUCUGUGAAUCGUGUCAGGUCGGGAACGGAGCAGCACUAAGCAGAACCUUCCGGGUGCCGUAAGGGCGCCUGAACUGAGUUAACUGCCUAAGUAACGUCUGUUAGCCUAGCUCGAAGCACAAUGCACGA